CUCCUAGUCACAGCACAAUGUAAGGUGGAGUUAUCUUCAUAUAGAAAUGAAAACAAAAUAAAACAAACAAAACCCUGAGGAUCAGAGAGUUCAGAGAGUAUUUAUUUGCAAAGCUUCAACUUAAACUAAGUUCUGAUUCCAAAACCUUUGCUUUCUCCCUGUCUUAGAAUAUGAGUGAAUUUCCCUGAACAUUUAGUGUUGGUGGAAAUUACAGAGAAAUCUCAUCCAAUUUUUUUCAUUUUAUACCUUUUAUAAAGUACCAAUCUAAAUGCUUCUCAAAAAAAGGAGAAAAAUGUGCUUCAGAUGAUGAGGAAGUACUCAAUUUUUAGCAAAGUACAGAAAUAUUCUUUUGAAAUUUCCCAUUGUAUCUUGCUUCUCAAUAUAUACUUCUUAAAAUCUUCAUUCAUAUUUUAAAUGAAGGUCUAUUAAUUUCUCUUAUUUUGGCUGCAAGUUUACAUUAAAUUAUAUCAGACAAAGACUGUGGGUUUCUAGACUAAUCUAUGGUUAAACAAUAGUAUUACAUCAGAAUUUUCAGAGACUUUCACAUUAUUGCUUUCAUCAAGAUAUCAUUUCAACCCCUAGUUCAAGGGCAGUAGAUACAGGGCAAACUUUUUUCUCUGCCCCCACUACAAUUUAGCUUUGACCUCAGCAGAUGCAUUUUAGGGCAUAAGGACAAAUGAGCAGGGGUCUCAUUUAAUGAAAGGCAGAAUACUGUGAUAAAGUCCACAUGGGAUAGAAAUGGGAGGGGAGUUGACAUUUUUACAGAAUAAUGAUGAUUAAUAAAAACAGACUCUCUACUCCCCCGGUCUCAUUCUGUAUACAGAUUCAAGGCUAGGACCCAUGAUCUUCUUAAAUUUAUUGUCUAUAGACAGAAAUAUAGCAGAAGCUUUCAACACAAAUGUAUCUCAUUACAGGGGAAUUCUUAACCUUAUGAAAUGUUAACGUUAUCAAACAAAAUAGCUGAAAGAGCAGGUAACUGAGUUUUACUUAGUGGUGCAACCUCAGGCUAAGGUUGCAGGAAUUAGCAGAAUGUUUAAGGUUAAGCUGAGAAUCAGCUUUCACAAAUGUGUCCAAGACAAUACAAUAUGCACAUUUACAGAGGUUCAGACUGUGCAUUCCUUGUAUCUUAAAGUACACCCAGUUAAAACAUUUUAUAAAUUUGGUGAAGAGGGAGACAAAAGCAUGGAAUAUGUAAGAUGAAGUAACAUCCUGAAUGUGAUUUUUGUUUCUUCCACUGUAUAAUCUCAGGCCCGGUACGAAGUUCCUAUGUUGUUGAGUCCAUGCUUAGUCCCCAUCUCUUCUACCAGGGCUACUCUUCUUAAAGCCACUUUAUUGAAGAAUGGUUGCCAUAAAAAGACUGUACAUAUUUUAUGUACACAACUUGAUGAGUUUAGAGGCCCAGAUGUUCCCAGUUGGGUUUGCUGAGCUGUGACUCUGAUUACAAGUAUGCUUCACACCAGGCAAGGUGACAACACGUGCUCAAAAGGGCAAGCAUUGUCCCUUAAGGCAUUGAUUCAUUUGAGGCAUUUGUUAAUCAUCAGGCAAAGGGAAGGACUUACAAAUUCUUCCCAGGACAGUAGUAAGCUGUUUCCGCAGACCCAGAGGUGAAAUGGGGGAUUCAAGGUUCUUGAAAGCAGGGAGUGCUCUCAAGAGAAGGGAAUGAAGAAAGCAGGAUAAGACAGGGGCAGAAGGUAUAUAAUAGUGUAGUCUUAACUGAAGAUCAGCUUUGGUAUGAUCCUGUACGAAAACUCUAGACUCUGAAUCACAAAUUACAACAUACAAUAAUAUCAACAUUGUGUGCUCUCUAGGUAUCAGCAAAAAAUUUUGAUAAAAGUCUAAACAGUAAAUGUUUUAGGUUUGGGGGCUAUUCAGUACCCUUUGAAACUGCUCUGCCAUUGUGAUGUGGACAACCAUGUAUAGAUAAACCAGCAUGGCUGUAUUGCAAUAA